UUCUGCUAUUACCCUAAAAAUGACGUCACCAGGUGGUCACAACUUUUUAUUGACAAACUGCUACAUUGUACUCUGGCUUAGUUCUUCAUUCCUGCUUCAUGGCUUGGUUUCAUUCUUGAGAUUUUAGAGGUGGGUUUUGUCCUGUUCCUUUUCUCCCCCCUCCUUCACCGCAAGCUUCUAGCAUGCCAUCGGAAAACGUAGACAGCCGCUUAAUAAGUGUAUACACAUUAGCUGUUACACCUAUAAAUCUCGUGAGUAUUUAGGCAGGACUUUCCCCCUCUAAAUACAGUGUACUUAUAAAGGGUAAGGAAGAGGUCAGAGGUUCACAACUCAGCGUGCUCUCUCAGAGUGAACACCCAGCAGCCAGACCAAGGAUGAGAACAUCAACAGCAGAGCCACUGGCGUCCGGAACAUAGCUGGGAUAUCACUGCAGAGCCAUUUAUGGAAGCGAUCUUCCGAAAGUGAUAGCUUCCCUAUCAUCAGAGGAAGAUCUGCCACCAUGGCAGACGCCAAAGCAAGCAUCGCUUCUGUCAGGGAAUGAGAGGCAAGCCUCCAGCAUGAUGGGGAGCGUGCACGUUCUGAGAGUCAGACUGCUCACGUGAGCGAGUCAGUUAAGCUUCAGAGAUGAGUCACACCGAGUGGCACAGAUGGUACAGAAUGACAUCUCAAAGAUGUGAAAAAUACGGACGGAACCCACAGCAAAGACUAACAACAAGAAGUGCAGCUCUGACCCCUCACCAAAGAAGCUCCAUUUUCCAACACAUGGGGACUGCUAUAGAGACCAAACAACUGGUUACAAUCAGAGCACAAGUGUCUUGGGGGGCCCAACCCCACUGGGCCCAGUGAAGUAACUGCUACCGCUACGGCUCAGGGGAAGCUGCAGAAGGAGUGGAAAGAUGGUGAAAGCCAGAAGCCCAGAACAUCUGCUGUGAGAUGGUGUCCUCUGGACGUGACAAGGAUGCUGCACCCAUGAAAUCUCAGCAUGUGGUUCCCUGAGCAAACUCAGUACAGCGACAGCACCAGCUGACCUGCCAGGGUCCCAGCCCUAGAGACGAGCUACAGGAAGGGCAUGGCUGUUGAGAGAGGGCGAGUCUUCCUCCUCCAGGGAUGACCUCCCCACUAAAUUGCCCAGUACCAAGUAGUCAGUUGCGUACAUGUAGAGACGAGCAGAGACAAGAAUGACCUCAUCCUUCUUCAAAGAAAUGUCUCCUUGCCACGGACAGAGAUCUCCACAGAAAAUCACACCUGAUCACAAUGCAAAGAACAAGUGGCCAUGCAGUGUCCAGUCUCAACGGAUACAACUUUUGUACCUAAGGCUCAGGGAUCAUAGUGGGAUCAUAGUGGGAGAUGGGGUGGAAAGACUGUAAGAGGAACAAGAACUUGGCUGUACGGCUGUGUCUCCUAGAAAUGUCAGAGAAACUACACUGUGAAGUCUCAUCAACAUGGCUGCCUAACCAAGACCUGAGAAAGGCUAACACUGACAGACAUGCUAACAUGGAAGGAAGGAAUGUCAUGAGACCACCAUUCUAGAUGAAGAACUACAGGCAACUAAGGAAGCCCAGGAUGGGAGAAAUGGUUAUCCAAUACUAAGUGCCAAAUCUAUCAUUAUAUACAUGCAAGCACACACACAUAUAUAUACUGAGUGAGCUCUAUUUAUAUAUUUAGAAAUAUAUUUAUGGUCUUAGGUAGUGUUUCUAUCUUCUCAGGUAGGGAAAAAAAGAGGCCUGUAACAAGGUUUCCCUGAAUGUUCCCACUAUCCCCUGAGAUGACCACCAAUUAGAGAACAAGCCAUCAGCAUGACUUGCAGAGUCAUUUCACAGUCUCAUGAUAAUAAAUUUGUGCACACAUCAUUUCAUAAGUGCAUGUGCACAUCCAUCUGUCAGGGAAAGGGCACCAUGACCAUGGCAACCCUUGGAAGGAAAACA